rnacentral:rRNA from 1 species
ACGCUGGCGGCAGGCUUAACACAUGCAAGUCGAACGGUAACAGGAGAAAGCUUGCUUUCUUGCUGACGAGUGGCGGACGGGUGAGUAAUGCUUGGGAAUCUGGCUUAUGGAGGGGGAUAACGACGGGAAACUGUCGCUAAUACCGCGUAGAGUCGAGAGACGAAAGUGCGGGACCGCAAGGCCGCAUGCCAUAGGAUGAGCCCAAGUGGGAUUAGGUAGUUGGUGGGGUAAUAGCCUACCAAGCCGACGAUCUCUAGCUGGUCUGAGAGGAUGACCGGCCACACCGGGACUGAGACACGGCCCGGACUCCUACGGGAGGCAGCAGUGGGGAAUAUUGCGCAAUGGGGGCAACCCUGACGCAGCCAUGCCGCGUGAAUGAAGAAGGCCUUCGGGUUGUAAAGUUCUUUCGGUAUUGAGGAAGGUUGUUGUGUUAAUAGCACGACAAAUUGACGUUAAAUACAGAAGAAGCACCGGCUAACUCCGUGCCAGCAGCCGCGGUAAUACGGAGGGUGCGAGCGUUAAUCGGAAUAACUGGGCGUAAAGGGCACGCAGGCGGACUUUUAAGUGAGGUGUGAAAUCCCCGGGCUUAACCUGGGAAUUGCAUUUCAGACUGGGAGUCUAGAGUACUUUAGGGAGGGGUAGAAUUCCACGUGUAGCGGUGAAAUGCGUAGAGAUGUGGAGGAAUACCGAAGGCGAAGGCAGCCCCUUGGGAAUGUACUGACGCUCAUGUGCGAAAGCGUGGGGAGCAAACAGGAUUAGAUACCCUGGUAGUCCACGCUGUAAACGCUGUCGAUUUGGGGAUUGGGCUUUAAGCUUGGUGCCCGAAGCUAACGUGAUAAAUCGACCGCCUGGGGAGUACGGCCGCAAGGUUAAAACUCAAAUGAAUUGACGGGGGCCCGCACAAGCGGUGGAGCAUGUGG